AAUACUCAGGUUGUUCAGAGGCAGCAGGGACAUGGCACCACUUGGCACCUAUUUUCUUCUUCUUCCUGUACUCAGGCUUUAAAAGUCAUGGAUAUGCUAGUUUUUAGGCUGGCCUUUUGCCUAUUACUUGCUGAGUCAACAACAGAGAAUGAAAAUUGGAGUCCUCAGUCUACGGUAACAGUCCAAGUUGUAUCAGACAGCUCAAGAAAAGGAACGUCACUGAGCACUUCUGAACAUUCAACAAUAACACUGACAACUGUGAUUCCCAAUACAACUAAUACUUCCGGGACAGUUACAAACUCUAAUCACAUUCAAACAAUAGAAUCCACCACUGUCGUGAAGCCUUUAAACAGUAUGUCAGAGUCUACACCCACAACUGCCACUCAAACUGAACCAUCAACAUCUGAGAGAAACAUACACCACUCCACAACUACUACAACUACUGCUGCUGUUAUUAGAAGUACUACUGCAAACUCAUCUGACUGGGAGGUGACUGCUACCUCCCAGUCUGUUCUUCCAACUCAAGGUGUGUGGCUUAGCAUUUCUGAGAGGAAUUUGACUAUUAUUUUUAGUGUUAUGUUGGGCUUGUUCGCUAUGGCCAUGGUCGCGAUCAAGUGCUGCAGAUUUAGUUAUGAACUGCAAUUCGUGCAUCUGGCUCUAUCCAACACAGAAGACUUGAAUUCCUCAACAGCAGGACCUGGCAGACCUGUCAUUUCUGAAGGACUUUAUGAUGGUCAUCCAAUCUAUGACAACGUACCACCAGCCGCACAGUUCAGCUUGGAGUUCCCUCAUUAAAACACAGUUGUAUUCCCUUACACCUUAAAUAUGUAUAAUAAUAAUAAACA